rnacentral:rRNA from 1 species
UACAGAGGUCCCAAGCGUUGUUCGGAUUCAUUGGGCGUAAAGGGUGCGUAGGCGGCGCGGUAAGUCGGGUGUGAAAUCUCGGAGCUUAACUCCGAAACUGCAUUCGAUACUGCCGUGCUUGAGGACUGGAGAGGAGACUGGAAUUUACGGUGUAGCGGUGAAAUGCGUAGAUAUCGUAAGGAAGACCAGUGGCGAAGGCGGGGUCUCUGGACAGUUCCUGACGCUGAGGCACGAAGGCUAGGGGGAGCAAACGGG